UGGGGAAUAUUGGGGCAAUGGGAGGCAACUCUGACCCAGCAACGCCGCGUGAAUGAUGAAGGUCUUCGGAUUGUAAAGUUCUGUGAUGGGGGACGAAGAAAGUGACGGUACCCUUGGAGGAAGCCCCGGCUAACUACGUGCCAGCAGCCGCGGUAAUACGUAGGGGGCAAGCGUUAUCCGGAAUUAUUGGGCGUAAAGAGUGCGUAGGUGGUUACCUAAGCAGGGGGUGAAAGGCAUUGGCUUAACCAAUGUUAGCCCCCUGAACUGGGCUACUUGAGUGCAGGAGAGGAAAGCGGAAUUCCUAGUGUAGCGGUGAAAUGCGUAGAUAUUAGGAGGAACACCAGUGGCGAAGGCGGCUUUCUGGACUGUUACUGACACUGAGGCACGAAAGUGUGGGGAGCAAACAGGAUUAGAUACCCUGGUAGU
rnacentral:rRNA from 1 species